rnacentral:lncRNA from 12 species
GUUUUAGUUAACUAUGAUAACCCAGGUUCUCACAGGUAUAACCAGGUAACCAGGGCUAAAUGCUUUCUGUCCAGUCUCCACGAUCUGCCCCCCUUCCGCACCCGAGAGGCGCCCCAGCGGUGUCAUCGGUGCCUGAGCGCUCAGGACGGUCCCAGUGACAGAUUCGCAGGAAGCAGCGUUUAGCCGCUGACGAUGGCGACCACAGACAGCAGAAAUGUCUUUUUGUGCGCCCGAGGCCCGGAAUGUUCACUAUCUGCGCCGCGGAAUAUCAUAUUCUCCCCCAGAGCCGAGAUCCUGAGCCCAAUCCCACCAUUUACACGCAUUCCAGCAUAAGGUGUCCAGCUGGAUCUAUUCUGCCAUGAACGGUCAGCGUGUGUCAGACGGUCGGCGCAGAUGCUGGAAAUCUGCUGCCUGGAUCCUCACCUGCCUGCUGGCUUCGUUCUUACUGAUCGCCGUCACCAGCUUCCUUCCAAACGAAGAUAUCAAACUCCAGCGAAGAUCAGCUUCCUGUAAGUAUCAUUUGAAAGUAAACCUUUGAAUUUCCUGCAACUUUUCAUAAGCAACUUCCUAGAAGCCACACAAAACACC